CUAGGAUAAGGCAUUCUAGCAUAUGGUGAAGAAACUUGAAACUUGGGGCCCUUCACAAGAGGUUUCUUGCCUUUCUUGGCACUAGACUCAUUCUCCACUCUCUUUUCAACUUCACCCUCAUAAGCUUUUUCUUCCUUAUUUUUUUCUUCUUUCUUAUUUUCUUUUCUAUCUUCAAUUACACCAUCCCUCAUCUUUUCAACUACACCAUUUUUACUCUCAUCC
rnacentral:lncRNA from 1 species